GGAAGAGUCUAGAAGCUGGUUUCUGCCUCCCAAGGCAUCAGAAGUCAGCACUCCUGGGGUACCAGGUGAAGCCAGAGGAUGAGAACCAAGAGCACCAAGAGGCAGGGUGAACUACUUUCUCAAGUCCAGAACAUGAAAACCACGACCAUCUCUCACCCCACAGAGACCUCAAGGCCAGCACAGAAAAGUGGUUCAUCAGGAGACCUGGCAAGAUGAGAGGCUAAGAGCCCGUCUGUCUUUCUUCCCCACGGCCUAUGUCUGGGAAGAUCCCUCCCUCUGCCAACUGCCAAGCUCCAGACCUUAUUCUGCCAUGAGCUAUCUGUGCAACCCAAGGCAAAAUAUGAAGUGGGACGGAGAAAGGAACUCCUACCACCUAGUAAAUGGAAUUCUUUUCCUCCCCUAAGUGACUGUGACAAGGUAGGACUGGAGCACAUUUUCCUCCCCACUUCCUUCCCAUGGCAAUAACACACAGUCAAAACCCACGUGAGCCAGGACGGCAGCUCCAGCCAGAUUGUCCUGGAAGGACCACGCUCUCUGGGAAUCUAUCUUGGAAUGUAUGUUGAGUUGCAGGCAGAUAGAAAUGCCGCUGCAAGCAAGGGCUCAGCCAGUGGAGAGGAGAAAUGACAAGCCACAGGACUGGCUGGUGCAUCUGAGGAAAGCACCAAGGGGAGGGAAGGGAGGGUCCAGUGGGCACAAGGCAAAGCGGGCCAAGAGGAGAUCAGAGUCUGGGAGAGAAUCAUUGAAAGGCUCAGUAAGACAAAUGAAGGCCGUUACCGCCCACUUCUUUUGUUUACCGGAAGCACCAAAGACUGCUGGGACCUCAUCAUAGGGCUGUUAAGCAUCAGUAACGACUGUAGAGGGAGUGUAGGGAGGGAGCCAGGGAAAAUAAAACCUUUAUGUAUGCACAAAAAAAAAA